rnacentral:rRNA from 1 species
UCUCAGUUCGGAUUGUAGGCUGAAACUCGCCUACAUGAAGCUGGAGUUGCUAGUAAUCGCGAAUCAGCAUGUCGCGGUGAAUACGUUCCCGGGCCUUGUACACACCGCCCGUCACACCAUGAGAGUUGGCAAUACCCAACGUACGUGAUCUAACCCGCAAGGGAGGAAGCGUCCUAAGGUAGGGUCAGCGAUUGGGGUGAAGUCGUAACAAGGUAGC